rnacentral:misc_RNA from 1 species
GGUUACUCAAUAGUCAUUUUUAGAAAGGAAAUUUCUUUCAUGAGUCAAAAAAGAGGGAGAGAGCCAACUCAUCAGGUCACCAUCUAUUGAGGUCAGAGUGAUUUAAAAUAGGUGUCAGCAUGGUUUUCAAACCAAAUAAAAAUCUUGGUCAUAGAGCUAAGUAGAUUUUUAGCUCAUAUUUGACUAGACUAGAUAAAAUCCGUAA